UACAGAGGCCUCGAGCGUUAGGCGGAAUCACUGGGCUUAAAGCGUGUGUAGGCGGACUUCUAAGUACCUUGUGAAAUCCCACGGCUUACCCGUGGAACGGCUGGGUAUACUGGUUGUCUUGAGCUUACUAGAGGCAGAUGGAAUUCCGGGUGUAGCGGUGGAAUGCGUAGAGAUCCGGAAGAACACCGGUGGCGAAGGCGGUCUGCUGGGGUAAUGCUGACACUGAGGCGCGACAGCGUGGGGAGCAAACAGG
rnacentral:rRNA from 1 species